AGUGGGGAAUUUUGGACAAUGGGCGCAAGCCUGAUCCAGCAAUGCCGCGUGAGUGAAGAAGGCCUUCGGGUUGUAAAGCUCUUUUGUCAGGGAAGAAACGGCUGUGGCUAAUAUCCACGGCUAAUGACGGUACCUGAAGAAUAAGCACCGGCUAACUACGUGCCAGCAGCCGCGGUAAUACGUAGGGUGCAAGCGUUAAUCGGAAUUACUGGGCGUAAAGCGUGCGCAGGCGGUUUUGUAAGUCUGACGUGAAAUCCCCGGGCUUAACCUGGGAAUUGCGUUGGAGACUGCAAGGCUAGAAUCUGGCAGAGGGGGGUAGAAUUCCACGUGUAGCAGUGAAAUGCGUAGAGAUGUGGAGGAACACCGAUGGCGAAGGCAGCCCCCUGGGUCAAGAUUGACGCUCAUGCACGAAAGCGUGGGGAGCAAA
rnacentral:rRNA from 1 species